ACAAAAACUCUAAAUUGAAGGCUCAAAUCACGUUGUAAUCAAAAUCUGAACAUAGAAUUGUGAUCUCCUCGUCAAGAAGGUCAUAAGGCAAGGAAUCCGGGACGUCGAGUGGACACGCCGGAGGUGAUACCCGCGGAAAAGGUGCGCUUUGAAGGUACAAAUAAAUCUCUCUCGGAUGAUGAUCAAGCACCUUGUCAAGAACCGAACACGCAAACUGAAGCUUCCGCAUGAAUAUAAUUUUGUCUAAACUUUAAACAUGUCAUAAAUACUUUUGGUUGAUGGUGUUUUGAAUCCUUUAGCUAGUUGUUAGCUGAUUAGUAGGGAUGGCUCUUAAAUGAAUUUUGUACCAUCUUAAACAUGUUUGGGAAAUUACACU